GUCCACACCGUAAACGUUGGGCACUAGGUGUGGGGAGGAUCAACCCUUUCCGUGCCGUAGCUAACGCAUUAAGUGCCCCGCCUGGGGAGUACGGCCGCAAGGCUAAAACUCAAAGGAAUUGACGGGGCCCGCACAAGCGGCGGAGCAUGUUGCUUAAUUCGAGGCAACGCGAAGAACCUUACCUAGGUUGAACUACGCACGAAAAGCCACAGAGAUGUGGUGUCCUUCGGGGCGUGCGAUAGGUGGUGCAUGGCUGUCGU
rnacentral:rRNA from 1 species